rnacentral:rRNA from 1 species
GACGAACGCUGGCGGCGUGCUUAACACAUGCAAGUCACGGGGGCCGCAAGGGCAACCGGCGAACGGGUGCGUAACACGUGAGCAACCUGCCGAUCUGAGGGGGAUAGCCGGCCCAACGGCCGGGUAAUACCGCAUACGUUCUCAUAAGGACAUCCUUGUGGGAAGAAACCUCCGGGGCAGAUCGAGGGGCUCGCGGCCUAUCAGCUAGUUGGUGUGGGUAACGGCCCACCAAGGCGACGACGGGUAGCGGUCCGAGAGGAU